AUAAAAAUAAUUUUUAAUAGCCUCUAAAGUAGUGCUUUUCUCAGCACAACUCAAACAGCAAUAGCAAGCAGACUCUUAGAGUUUUACAACUCUAUUUGUUUCAAGAUGAAAUCUUAAAAAAGAGUGAAUUACACCAGAAAUUUUUGUUAAAAGGUUCAAGGGAUGAUCAUAAGACACUAAAGCUUUAUCCCUAUAGGUUGUAUACCUCUAGUUUAUGCCUUCCAUAGCUGGAAAAGACUUUAAACCAUCCUUUUUGAGAUCCCAUUUUCUAAUAGUAGAUACAGUUAUUUUAUUGAGUCUCCUUUCUCCAAGUGCACUUGCAAAUGUGAUGGACAAUAUUAGCAUGAUGUUUCACUUUACCCUGAAAAGAAGACUUCAGCUUUUCCAUCUCAAAUGUAUGAAUUACAGUUCUAAUAUCAGCUGUCAGCACUUUUUUUAUCAGUUCCCCCCUUUCUGAUAAUUACUGUCAUAUUUCAUUAUUCAGUCAGAUGAACUUCUGGAUUUUGGUCUAUUGUAAUAUAACCAAUAUGUGUUUUAUGAGCAUGGAUGACAUAUUACAUAAUAUCUGGUUGACUUGUUGAAAGUUGAAAGCGUUCUUUGUCCUGUACUAGAUCAUAAACUGAUAUAUAUUUAUAUAUCCCUCUGCUUGUGUGUUUGUCUGGCUUCAAAACAUGUAUAUAUAUAUAUUUGCUUUGUUAGUUUUUGUAUUAGUUUA
rnacentral:misc_RNA from 1 species